CUGAGCACUGAGCUGGUCUCAUGCUCUCCACUGCAGCGGCCGCGACAACUGGCGCCCAACGUGGGGCAGAUCGAUGACAGGCCUGACAGAUACCCCACGGGCAGAGUCUAAACUCCAUGAAUAGCGCGUCAGCAAGCUUCGAGCUUUCAGCCCGAGGAUUCGGGUCUCCUAGACGUUUCCGUCCUUGGGGGUCGGAGAAGGUUAUGGUAUAGCAGUCCCUUCAUCAGCAUGCUUGGAACUGGGAACCAGCCCUGAACAGCAAAGGCAAAACACCAAGGGUUCCAACCCCUCAGCAUCUCUUGCAUCUGCCUCCUUAGUCUAGGUCUUCAUCAUACCUUACCCUCACUACUGUAACAGCCUCAUACUCAGAGGUCUUCCAAAGGUCUCAUCACUUGAAGAUCAAAGAUUCUGCAUCUGCCAGUGUUGGAGUCACUUCUUUUUCAACUCCAGACACAGUCUAUGUCCAGCAGGCCCCAUGGAGUUGCACUUCCUUCCUGUAUUGCAGGGACAAGCAAAGAUCUUUGUACUUGGUAAGAAAGCAUUGGCAAAGAGUAGCUUUAAGGAAAAUCAGGGCAAAAAAAAGAGAGAUUUCCCUGAAGGCCUAUUUCUCCUGAGUGUGCAGAAAGAAAUGUGCACAAGGCCAGAGGCACUUUCCAAACUCUUAACAGGAAAAAAUCAAUCUAGAAUAGUUCUUUGUGUUCUUGGCCAAUGAUGUCAAAGCCCUCCCAGGAAAACGGAAGAAAUAUUAAAAUUAAAGGUUGCUGGAGAACUGUGAAGGGGAAUGUUAUUUAUGAACCUUAAAAAGGUCCUAAGAGAGAAAGAGGAGGCAUCUCAUUCUUUUGAAAUCAAUGGAAAAGGAAAAGGUCUAGUAAUGGAAA